rnacentral:misc_RNA from 1 species
CACGUAGGGGGCAAGCGUUGUCCGGAAUUACUGGGCGUAAAGAGCUCGUAGGCGGUUCAGUAAGUCAGAUGUGAAAACUCAUGGCUCAACCCUGAGACGCCAUCUGAUACUGCUGUGACUUGAGUCCGGUAGAGGAGCGUGGAAUUCCUGGUGUAGCGGUGAAAUGCGCAGAUAUCAGGAGGAACACCAACGGCGAAGGCAGCGCUCUGGGCCGGUACUGACGCUGAGGAGCGAAAGCGUGGGGAGCAAACAGG